rnacentral:lncRNA from 1 species
GUCAGAGCUCUAAGGAGGCCCGAGUUCCCGAGUUGGAAUUCCGAGUUGGAUGACCGAUCAAAAACAUUUUUCCCUGUCGGAGCUCGUUUUUUUCCGAGUUCCCAGUUGUUUUGAACGGUCGGAAGUCGGAGAUUUCCGAGUUCCCAGUUGUUUUGAAGACGUCAUAACAUCGAGCAUAUAAAAUAGGACUACACUUUUUGACUGGACUAACGGCUCACACUUUUGUCGGAGGUCAAAUAUUGUUCACGUCCACCCAAACUUCUCGUUUAUUUAUUGGUCUGGCCACAGGGACGUCUGGGUUCGGAAUUACAAGAAAGCAACCCCUUGCACGUCAGUUUCAAAGUAGGCCUAUCUUAUCUGUACCACAGGGGUAUUUACCUCUAAAGUUAUCGAAGUGAAGGGACAAGACAAGUAAAAUAUGGCAGCUGCCCCAGCUAGAAGAAAACACGGAGCGUGUCUGCUUCGAAUCAAAGAAAAUUGUCCAUGGCGAAAAUUUAAGAAAAACAGGUGUUACGAUGUUACAGCCACAUCUUCGGCUGGUAGUGGGGUGUGUUGGGGAGACUUCAGUAAGCACCCCAUUUCUGCAUCCAAAACCGGACCUAUCAGCACCAUCUAUGUAGAGCCCCUCCCUCCCUCCUAUCAGUCUAUUUACCAUCCUCACCAAUCACAGGACCCCACUGCUGUGGAUAUGGAGGUGGUCCGACCCCAAGCUCCUAAUACGGGGGUCAUGAGUCUCCCCCCAUCCUCUGUACUGGCUCCAGGUCCUCUGGUUGCCAACCUCCAACCUGCCUGCCAGCACAGACGCCUCCCCUUCGCAGCACCCAGUGAGGCCAGCAUGGAGCUGGACAGCGGUGUCGACCCAGAGACUGGAGAGAGAGCCCAGAGAUGA